UUAGCUAGUUGGUGGGGUAAAGGCCUACCAAGGCGACGAUCAGUAGCGGGUCUGAGAGGAUGAUCCGUCACACUGGAACUGAGACACGGUCCAGACUCCUACGGGAGGCAGCAGUGGGGAAUUUUGGACAAUGGGGGCAACCCUGAUCCAGCCAUUCCGCGUGAGUGAAGAAGGCCUUCGGGUUGUAAAGCUCUUUCAGCCGGAACGAAACGGUAUUCCUUAAUACGGGAUGCUAAUGACGGUACCGGCAGAAGAAGCACCGGCUAACUACGUGCCAGCAGCCGCGGUAAUACGUAGGGUGCGAGCGUUAAUCGGAAUUACUGGGCGUAAAGCGUGCGCAGGCGGAUUGUUAAGCAAGAUGUGAAAUCCCCGGGCUUAACCUGGGAAUGGCAUUUUGAACUGGCAGUCUAGAGUGUGUCAGAGGGGGGUGGAAUUCCACGUGUAGCAGUGAAAUGCGUAGAUAUGUGGAGGAACACCAAUGGCGAAGGCAGCCCCCUGGGAUAACACUGACGCUCAUGUACGAAAGCGUGGGUAGCAAACAGGAUUAGAUACCCUGGUAGUCCACGCCCUAAACGAUGUCAACUGGUUGUUGGGGGAGUGAAAUCCCUUAGUAACGAAGCUAACGCGUGAAGUUGACCGCCUGGGGAGUACGGUCGCAAGAUUAAAACUCAAAGGAAUUGACGGGGACCCGCACAAGCGGUGGAUGAUGUGGAUUAAUUCGAUGCAACGCGAAAAACCUUACCUACCCUUGACAUGUCCAGAAUCCUGCAGAGAUGCGGGAGUGCCCGAAAGGGAAUUGGAACACAGGUGCUGCAUGGCUGUCGUCAGCUCGUGUCGUGAGAUGUUGGGUUAAGUCCCGCAACGAGCGCAACCCUUAUCAUUAGUUGCUACGCAAGGGCACUCUAAUGAGACUGCCGGUGAUAAACCGGAGGAAGGUGGGGAUGACGUCAAGUCCUCAUGGCCCUUAUGGGUAGGGCUUCACACGUCAUACAAUGGUCGGUACAGAGGGUUGCCAAGCCGCGAGGUGGAGCCAAUCCCAGAAAGCCGAUCGUAGUCCGGAUUGUUCUCUGCAACUCGAGAGCAUGAAGUCGGAAUCGCUAGUAAUCGCGGAUCAGAAUGUCGCGGUGAAUACGUUCCCGGGUCUUGUACACACCGCCCGUCACACCAUGGGAGUGGAAUCUGCCAGAAGUAGGUAGCCUAACCGCAAGGAGGGCGCUUACCACGGUGGGUUUCAUGACUGGGGUGAAGUC
rnacentral:rRNA from 1 species